GUAGGUGAACCUGCGGAGGGAUCAUUACCGAGUUAUACAACUCAUCAACCCUGUGAACAUACCUAAAACGUUGCUUCGGCGGGAACAGACGGCCCUGUAACAACGGGCCGCCCCCGCCAGAGGACCCCUAACUCUGUUUUUAUAAUGUUUUUCUGAGUAAACAAGCAAAUAAAUUAAAACUUUCAACAACGGAUCUCUUGGCUCUGGCAUCGAUGAAGAACGCAGCGAAAUGCGAUAAGUAAUGUGAAUUGCAGAAUUCAGUGAAUCAUCGAAUCUUUGAACGCACAUUGCGCCCGCCAGUAUUCUGGCGGGCAUGCCUGUUCGAGCGUCAUUACAACCCUCAGGCCCCCGGGCCUGGCGUUGGGGAUCGGCGGAAGCCCCCUGUGGGCACACGCCGUCCCUCAAAUACAGUGGCGGUCCCGCCGCAGCUUCCAUUGCGUAGUAGCUAACACCUCGCAACUGGAGAGCGGCGCGGCCAUGCCGUAAAACACCCAACUUCUGAAUGUUGACCUCGAAUCAGGUAGAUGCCCCCUGAACU
rnacentral:rRNA from 1 species